GUUCUUACCAACGUUAAUGAGAUAUACAUGUGUACUUCUGGUACCUCAAAAAGCAAAGUACUUUAACAUGCAGUUGCAACAAUUUUAGCUACUGCCCACAAGCCUCAAUCAGAAAUUAACUAUUACUAUAGAACUAUUGUUAAAGGUAGGCUAUAGGUGAUUAAAUAAACGUGAUAUGUAUAAGCGUCAUGAAAUGGAUUGGUGGAUGAACCAGUUCAAAAUGCGUUUACUGAAGUUUAUUAAAGCUUUUUAUUAAAUGUACACAUAUUGGUCAAUUAGCUUUCUAACGACUGUGACACGGACGUGUGGCGGAGCCAAAUGCAGCACAACGGCACGGAGUGUUUGGUUACGCUUUUAUUAAACACGGCCUCACAGCAGGCGUUCGGCCACAAUGAGAGGCAGAGCAGAGUUCGGUCCUCAGGAUCGGGGAGGAGAUGCCGGGAGACAGCUGGUGCGAUCGCUGGGCCGGUCGGGGAUCCGGAGCACAGGAGCCGGGCAGUCCAAGGAGCAGGCAACAGAAACCCGAGGCGCUCAGGCAGGACUCGUGGUCGGGGACAGAAGGCUGAGGUGCUCACCGGGGCGGAGACAGACGAACGGGUCGGGAACAGGCAGGGUCGAAACCGGGAGAUCAGUCCAAGGUAGAGCGCUGGAGAGACUUGCAUGUCGCGAAGAACAAUCUGGCAAUGACAGGCUGGGUGUGCAGUGCUUAUGUAGCGGGGCUGAUCGUGAAUGCGAAGCAGGUGUGGAAGGCAGGAGAGUGACUGAUUGUGGAUGCGGGGCAGGUGUGGAAGAUCGAGCUGGCAGUGGCCGCCCGCAUCCAGUUCAAAACAUUGGUGCUCACGUACCAUGCUGUGAAUGGAUCGGGUCCAGCUUACAUCCAGGACAUGGUCAAACCCUACAUCCCAACCCGCACUCUCCGCUCUGCAUCUGCAAAACUACUCGUCCCUCC
ensembl:lncRNA